AUGAAGGGAAUUACGAACAUACCUUGUCUCCACAUUGGAUCCAGAACAGGAUCAGAGGGAUCAAAAACUGCUAAUUCGUAUAAAGCCAUUACCUUUGAUUCCUCAAUAUUUUUUUCAUUAAUUACUCCGGAUUCCAAAAAUCAAUUUAGGAGUUGUGUUAUGGAUAAAAUCUCUUCCUCUUCAUUCUUUCAUAGAAUGAUACAAAGCAAGGCUGCAGGGUUUAGGUCAAAAAUAAACAUUAGGUAA
rnacentral:rRNA from 1 species